rnacentral:tRNA from 1 species
UCCUUUGUAGCUCAGUUGGUAAAGAAUCUGCCUGCAAUGCAGGAGACCCAGGUUCAAUUCCUGGAUUGGGAA